GGGGAAGGGAUCUAGCUCAGUGGUAGAGCAUCUGCUUUCCCUUCACAGAAUCACAGGUUCGAACCCUGGCUUCUCCA